UGGGAGCGUACACAGGUGCUGCAUGGGCUGUCGUCAGCUCGUGUCGUGAGAUGUUGGGUUAAGUCCCGCAACGAGCGCAACCCCCUGCUGCCAGUUGCCAACGGGUGAAGCCGGGCACUCUGGCGGGGACUGCCAUCGACAAGAUGGAGGAAGGUGGGGAUGACGUCAAGUCAUCAUGGCCCUUAUGUCCAGGGCGACACACGUGCUACAAUGGCCGGCACAGCGGGAAGCGGAGGGGCGACCCUGAGCGGAUCCCUUGAAAGCCGGUCCCAGUUCGGAUUGCAGUCUGCAACUCGACUGCAUGAAGUUGGAAUCGCUAGUAAUCGCGGAUCAGCCAAGCCGCGGUGAAUACGUUCCCGGGCCUU
rnacentral:rRNA from 1 species